GAUGAACGCUGGCGGCGUGCCUAACACAUGCAAGUCGAGCGAUUUACUUCGGUAAAGAGCGGCGGACGGGUGAGUAACGCGUGGGUAACCUGCCCUGUACACGGAUAACAUACCGAAAGGUAUGCUAAUACGAGAUAAUAUACUUUUAUCGCAUGGUAGAAGUAUCAAAGCUUUUGCGGUACAGGAUGGACCCGCGUCUGAUUAGCUAGUUGGUAAGGUAACGGCUUACCAAGGCGACGAUCAGUAGCCGACCUGAGAGGGUGAUCGGCCACAUUGGAACUGAGACACGGUCCAAACUCCUACGGGAGGCAGCAGUGGGGAAUAUUGCACAAUGGGCGAAAGCUUGAUGCAGCAACGCCGCGUGAGCGAUGAAGGCCUUCGGGUCGUAAAGCUCUGUCCUCAAGGAAGAUAAUGACGGUACUUGAGGAGGAAGCCCCGGCUAACUACGUGCCAGCAGCCGCGGUAA
rnacentral:rRNA from 1 species